GGCAGACGGGUGAGUAACAUGUGGGAAUCUGCCUUGUGGUUCAGGACAACAUUGGGAAACCGAUGCUAAUACUGGAUAAGCCCUUACGGGGAAAGUUUUAAUGCCAUAAGAUGAGCCCGCACUUGAUUAGUUAGUUGGUGAGGUAAUGGCUCACCAAGACAAUGAUCAAUAGCUGAUCUGAGAGGAUGAUCAGCCACACUGGGACUGAGACACGGCCCAGACUCCUACGGGAGGCAGCAGUGGGGAAUCUUGCACAAUGGAGGAAACUCUGAUGCAGCGAUGCCGCGUGAGUGAAGAAGGCCUUUGGGUUGUAAAGCUCUUUUGUAGGGGAAGAUAAUGACUGUACCCUAAGAAUAAGGUCCGGCUAACUUCGUGCCAGCAGCCGCGGUAAUACGAAGGGACCUAGCGUAGUUCGGAAUUACUGGGCGUAAAGCGCGCGUAGGCCGUUGAGUUAGUUAAUUGUGAAAUCCCAAAGCUUAACUUUGGAACUGCAAUUAAAACUGCUCGACUAGAGUUUGAUAGAGGAAAGCGGAAUACAUAGUGUAGAGGUGAAAUUCGUAGAUAUUAUGUAGAACACCAGUUGCGAAGGCGGCUUUCUGGAUCAACACUGACGCUGAGGCGCGAAAGUAUGGGUAGCAAAGAGGAUUAGAUACCCCUCGUAGUCCAUACCAUAAACGAUGAUUGCUAGAUGUUGGGAAAUUUAUUUUUCAGUAUCGCAGCUAACGCAUUAAGCAAUCCGCCCUGGGGAGUACGACCGCAAGGUUAAAACUCAAAUGAAUUGACGGGGACCCGCAUAAGCGGUGGAGCAUGUGGUUUAAUU
rnacentral:rRNA from 1 species